rnacentral:lncRNA from 1 species
AACAAUAAAUAAAGAAUUUUAAUUUCUAUAAAAAUAGAUUAAUUUAGGAUUUUAAUUAAUUUAAUUAAACUUUAAAACCAAAGAAAAGAAAAGAAAAGAAAAGGAAUACGAAAGGGAAUUGAAAAGACUUGGUCUUAAAUUCAAUUUGGGUCAAUUGAUGUUGAAGCCCAAAUUUUUGCCCCAAAGCCACCCGCCCAACUCCCUAAAUUCGGCUGACCCGCCCAAUAUACCUUUUAAUCUCCACCCUUAAUCCCAUCUAACCCAACAACCAUUAUUAAUUCCCACCACCAUAUAAAAACCUAAUUAUAACACCCGUAAAGCCCUAAACCUAAUUCCCCAUCUCCCAAACGGCAUUUCUUUGUGUUUUUCUUUCUUUUUUAUACCUUUCAUAAAUUCAUAGAGGAAUUCCGUAUAUUUUCACAUCUAGGAUUUACAUAUACAACAUAUACCACUGUCAAGGGGGAGAUUCAUAGAGGAAUUCCGUAUAUUUUCACAUCUAGGAUUUACAUAUACAACAUAUACCACUGUUAAGGGGGAAGUUCUUAUUAUUUAGGUUAGUUAGUUAUUUCCAUUUCAAAAAAAAAGUAAAAAAGAAAAAUUGGGUUGUGCUAUAUAUAUAUAUGAAAGAGUAUACAAUAAUGAUGUAUUUGGCAAAUCAAAUACCAUGGUCUAAUAAUCAAACAUUCUGAUUAGUUGAUAAUAUUAGUAUUAGUUGGAAAUUUUAUGAAAGAUUCCUGUGAAAAGUUUCAUUAACGCGGAAUUUGUGUCGAGUAGACCUUGUUGUUGUGAGAAUUCCAGCCUCACUCUUCCUCCACCUUCUUCCGCGCCAAAACCGCCCAUAUUCACCGGAAAAUUUCCUCUUACCAUCACAUGGUCUCUCCUCUCAUUCCCUUCCACGUGGACUAAUAAAUAACGAAUUGUGUACAAAUCGAAUCGUACUACUUCUCCCUUACGCGCUCAUCUUAUCCGAAAUAAAUUUAAAGACGAGAUUAGGAUGAAUGGGAGGCGUAAGAUUGAGUCUCACUCGAUCUACUCCCUCCACUUGUCUUUUACUCGUUUCAAGAGAUAGAAUUUCAGAUUUUCCAGAAAGGGUAAGAUUUUUCAUGACUUGGAAAAAAGAUAGAAGCUUCUGGAGCUUCUAUAUAUUGAGUGUCGUCUUGCUUUAGGGACAAAUUUGUUUUGGGGGAGGGAAAAAUUCUAGGGCUUGGAGAGUCUUCAGAUUUUGGGUCUAAUUUCUCUUUUUUCUAUUAUUUUUACCAGCAAAAAAUAAGAAAAGAAAAAUUUGUUUCAAUCAUCUUUUUUUUGAUUUUUUUGUUCUUAAGCAUAUAGUGAUUUUGAACUUUGAAUUUAUGCUCGAGUUUGGUUUAAACUAAGCUUGCCGUUUGAAAUAUUUGCUAAUUUGGUUUAAUCUUGAUUCUAGAUUUAAUUGGAAUGGAUUCUACUUUUGCUGCUGACCUGCUGUGAGCUCAUUUAGUAGCUGAUUUCUUUAUCUUUAUUUGGCAAAGGUUCAGUUUCAUUUUCAAGCUUGUGUACACAUUUAUAACUUGUAUUCUAUUUUGAUUUGUAUUGAAAUGUGAUCUGUCUGUUGCAGUUUGUUAAGCCUGUUGCUUGUUGGUUCUUUUUUGAACAUAGCUUGAAUGUUUGGUUUUGACAUAGCAAUUACAUGAAGUUUGGUUGUAGAUGGAAUGUGCUUUAGUAGUGAUGUACGAUUUGAACGUUUUGCAUUUCACCUAUUUCCACAAAAAUUCAAUAUAUGUACUGUUCAUAUUAUCAUAUGUUGCCUAGUUUGAGUAUUCAUUACCGAAGCUUAACAACAACAACAACAACAACUACCCAGUAUACUCCCACCAGGUGGGGUCUGGGGAGGGNNN